rnacentral:rRNA from 1 species
AACGAACGCUGGCGGCAGGCUUAACACAUGCAAGUCGAGCGCCCCGCAAGGGGAUCGGCAGACGGGUGAGUAACGCGUGGGAACGUACCCUUAUCUUCGGGAUACCUCCGGGAAACUGGAAUUAAUACCGAAUUUGCCCUUUUGGGGAAAGGGUUAUCGGGUAAGGAUCGGCCCGCGUUGGAUUAGCUGGUUGGUGGGGUAAAGGCCUACCAAGGCGACGAUCCAUAGCUGGUCUGAGAGGAUGAUCAGCCACAUUGGGACUGAGACACGGCCCCAACUCCUACGGGAGGCAGCAGUGGGGAAUAUUGGACAAUGGGCGCAAGCCUGAUCCAGCCAUGCCGCGUGAGUGAUGAAGGCCUUAGGGUUGUAAAGCUCUUUCACAGGAGAAGAUAAUGACGGUAUCCGGAGAAGAAGCCCCGGCUAACUUCGUG